AUACAAUAGUUAAUUAAAAUGUGUAAAAUAUAUCAUAUAUGCUUUAUCAUUGGGCUUUUUUUAAAAAUAAAAAAAAAUAUCUGUAUUAAAUUUUUAUUAAUUAAAUUAUUUAUUAUCAUUAUUAUUAUUAUCAUUAUUAUUAUUAUUAUUAUUAUUAUUAUUAUUAUUAUUAUUAUUAUNNNNNNNNNNAUUAUUAUUAUUAUUAUUAUUAUUAUUAUUAUUAUUAUUAUUAUUAUAUAUCUAUUAAUUUAUUUCUAAAACACAAUUUAUAAAAAUACUAAAUGUAUAUCAAACUAUUUUUNNNNNNNNNNGCUUCCUCAGCUUCUUCUUCUAUUACUUCCUCUUUUGCUUCCUCAACUUCUUCUUCCAAUACUUCCUCCUCUUCUUCCUUACUAACACCUUCCAAUAUUUCUUCUACUGCUUCCUCAGACACACCUGAUAAUACUUCCUCUACUGCUUCCUCAGAAACACCUGAUAAUACUUCCUUUUCUUCUUCUUCACUAACACCUUCCAAUAUUUCCUCUUCUAUUUCCUCAGAAACACCUGAUAAUACUUCCUCUUCUUCUUCCUCACUAACACCUUCCAAUAUUUCCUCUUCUAUUUCCUCAGAAACACCUGAUAAUACUUCCUCUUCUAUUUCCUCAGAAACACCUGCUAAUACUUCCUCUUCUGCUUCCUCCGCAACACCUUCCAAUAUUUUCUCUACUGCUUCCUCAGAAACACCUGAUAAUAUUUCCUCUUCUGCUUCCUCAACAACAUCCUCCAAUACUUCUUCACCUGCCUCUUCAACAUCUGAUUCUAACACUUCUUCAACUACAUCUUCAACAUCUGACUCGAAUACUUUAUCUGCUUCCUCAAAAUAUGAUUUUAAUAUGUUAUCUGCCUCUUCAAUAUCUGAUUCUAACACUUCUUCAACUGCCUUUUCCAUAACUGAUUCUGAUACUUUAUCUGCCUCUUCAACAUCUGAUUCUGCUUCUUUAUAUACUGUUUCCACAUCUAAUUCUGAUACUUUAUCUGCCUCUUCAACAUCUGAUUCUGGUUCUU
rnacentral:lncRNA from 1 species